rnacentral:tRNA from 1 species
AUUAGUAAGAUAAAAUUUAAUCUUUAAGUCUUUUAAACUUAUUAUGCCUAAAGGCCUAAUCUAGA